UUAGCCCCGAUUGAAACGGAAAUCCUUAUCUGCCGGGGUUCGGCAUAAAAGAUUGAAGAGCAAAGCGGGACAA
rnacentral:sRNA from 1 species